rnacentral:tRNA from 1 species
GCGCGGCGUAGAACGUGGGGGAUUCGACCACCACGAUGUCGCCGGGCUGGGUGACGGCCUCCAGGCAGAGGUUCAAGGCCUCCAUCGCGCC